UCCUACGGGGAGGCAGCAGUGGGGAAUAUUGCACAAUGGGGGAAACCCUGAUGCAGCCAUGCCGCGUGUGUGAAGAAGGCCUUCGGGUUGUAAAGCACUUUCAGUAGGGAGGAAGGUAGUGUAGUUAACACCUGCAUUAUUUGACGUUACCUACAGAAGAAGCACCGGCUAACUCCGUGCCAGCAGCCGCGGUAAUACGGAGGGUGCGAGCGUUAAUCGGAAUUACUGGGCGUAAAGCGCAUGCAGGCGGCCUGUUAAGUCAGAUGUGAAAGCCCGGGGCUUAACCUCGGAAUUGCAUUUGAAACUGGCAGGCUAGAGUCUUGUAGAGGGGGGUAGAAUUUCAGGUGUAGCGGUGAAAUGCGUAGAGAUCUGAAGGAAUACCAGUGGCGAAGGCGGCCCCCUGGACAAAGACUGACGCUCAGAUGCGAAAGCGUGGGGAGCAAACAGGAUUAGAUACCCUGGUAGUCCACGCCGUAAACGAUGUCUACUUGGAGGUUGUGGCCUUGAGCCGUGGCUUUCGGAGCUAACGCGUUAAGUAGACCGCCUGGGGAGUACGGUCGCAAGAUUAAAACUCAAAUGAAAUUGACGGA
rnacentral:rRNA from 1 species